rnacentral:rRNA from 14 species
GAGAAGGGCGUUUGGUGGAUGCCUUGGCAGUAAGAGGCGAUGAAGGACGUGAUACUCUGCGAUAAGCCAUGAGGAGCUGAGAAUAAGCUUUGAUCCAUGGAUUUCCGAAUGGGGCAACCCACCUGACAGUUCACUAUAAUAGCUUCGGCUAUUUAUAGGGUUCUGAAACAGGUACUUAAGGACUGAAUACAUAGGUCUUUAAGAGCAAACCCGGAGAACUGAAACAUCUAAGUACCCGGAGGAAAGGACAUCAACCGAGACUCCGUUAGUAGUGGCGAGCGAACGCGGACCAGGCCAGUGCCUUCAUUUCAACUAGCAGAACACUUUGGAAAGAGUGGCCGUAGCGGGUGACAGCCCCGUAUGUGAAAGUGAUGAUGAAGGACUUGAGUAGGGCGGGACACGUGAAAUCCUGUCUGAACAUGGGGGGACCACCCUCCAAGCCUAAGUACUCCUUACCAACCGAUAGUGAACCAGUACCGUGAGGGAAAGGUGAAAAGCACCCCGAUUAGGGGAGUGAAA